ACAAGGUUUCCGUAGGUGAACCUGCGGAAGGAUCAUUACUGAAAUGUAAUAACUUCUAUUGAAAGGUUCCAGAGUAGGCGCUACAACGCCGAAAUGACCUUCUCACCCUUGUGUACUCACUAUGUUGCUUUGGCGGGUCGACCUGGUUCCGACCCAGGCGGCCGGCGCCCCCAGCCUUAACUGGCCAGGACGCCCGGCUAAGUGCCCGCCAGUAUACAAAACUCAAGAAUUCAUUUUGUGAAGUCCUGAUAUAUCAUUUAAUUGAUUAAAACUUUCAACAACGGAUCUCUUGGUUCUGGCAUCGAUGAAGAACGCAGCGAAAUGCGAUAAGUAAUGUGAAUUGCAGAAUUCAGUGAAUCAUCGAAUCUUUGAACGCACAUUGCGCCCUUCUGGUAUUCCGGAGGGCAUGCCUGUUCGAGCGUCAUUUCAACCCUCAAGCUCUGCUUGGUAUUGGGCAACGUCCGCUGCCGGACGUGCCUUGAAGACCUCGGCGACGGCGUCCUAGCCUCGAGCGUAGUAGUAAAAUAUCUCGCUUUGGAGUGCUGGGCGACGGCCGCCGGACAAUCGACCUUCGGUCUAUUUUUCCAAGGUUGACCUCGGAUCAGGUAGGGAUACCCGCUGAACUUAAGCAUA
rnacentral:rRNA from 1 species